UAUAUUUAAAGUAGAGUGAUACUAUCAAACAUACUGUUUGCAAAUUAAACCCCCAUCUCCAGUACAUAAAUGCCUGCCUAGCACAUUCCUGUGAUACUAUCUCCCUUCAUUUGUGCAACCAAAGAGUGUUGAGCUCCUCUCCGAAUUAACAUAUAAACAGGAUGUUAAGGAAUGAUGAAGUCAGACGAGCAACCAAGCCAUCAAGAUUUAAGAACACAUGAAAGAGAACAAGUACCAACUAGAGCUUUAUGUAUGCACGAGCAUCUGAGCCACAUAUCAAGGCUCGAUUGACCACAAACAUAGUUUUAAUCUACAAAGUCUUUGCAUCGUCGGAUCAACCAGCGGCAGAGUUAAUAUAUGUUAUGGUUUCAAAUUAAUUGAUACUUUAACCAUUAAGAAGCUUUUAAGUUGCCAUCAACCAAUAUAUAUAUAUAUAUAUAUAUAUAUGAUGUAUUCUUGUAGUUCAUGUUGCUAUGACUGGUUUAAAAGAAUAUGUUUUUAGAUUGUUAUUGUCUUGUUAAGUAGUUUUACUAUUCUUGUGUUCUUACAAUUUUUUUUCAGAAACUUUUCAUGUUUUUCGACUAAUUAUUUUGACGAUUCUAUUGUCUAAGGGUCUCCUAUUAUCCCGAAGGAAGAUAUCUCUUUUCGAUCGCUACAGUGAACUCUAGCCGACUCAAAUCAAAUACCCAAAUUUGCCUGCUAUUCAGAUUCGAAAGAGUCCUCCGGAAUAUAUUCCCGUGGAGGUUACUUACUCUUACUAUCAUUCUGCAUCUUUUCAUUUUAUUUUCCAACUUUUCUAUGGCUAUUAUCUCUCUCCGUGUACUUUUUUUCCUUUCUGAUGUAUUUAAUUUCAGUUAUUCAAAACUGCCCCGGGACAAAGACACAAAAGUACACUAAAUGCCAGAGAGGUCGUAGGGAUGCGAAGAAGGUAUGUAUACGUCAGAUCUGUCUUACAUAAACCAGUCCAGGUCGCAGUUGAUUUCACGUGCCUUUUAAUUAGAUGUCGCUUUUAAAUACAAAUGUUAAAAGCCCGUGAAAUCAAUUGCGACCUGAACUGGCUUUAUGUAAAACAAAUCUGACGAAUACAUGCCUUCUUAAUAAUUUUCUCUAUCAGCAGGUCUUUGAUAAUCUUUUUUGCAUCGCAACGACCUGCCUGGCUUUUAGUGUACUUUUGUAUCUUUGUCCCGGGACAAUUUUGAAUAACUGAAAUUAAAUACAUCAGAAAGGAAAAAGAAGUACACGAAGAGAGAUAAUAGUCAUAGAAAAAUUGGAAAAUAAAAUGAAAAGAUGCAGAAUAACAAUAACAGUAACCUCCAUGGAAAUAUAUUCAGGAGGACUCUUCGAAUCUGAAUAGCAGGGUCGGGUAGAGUUCACUGAAGCGAUCGAAAAGAGAUAUCUCCCCUUCGGGAUAAUGGGAGACCCUUAAACAACGGAAUCGUCAAAAUAAUUAGUCAAAAACAUGAAAAGUUCCUGAAAAGAAAUUAUAAGAACAACACAAGAAAAGUAAAACUACUUAACAAGGCAAUAACAAUCUAAGAACAUAUUAUUUAAACUAGUCAUAGCAACAUAUAUAGAACUACAAGAUUGGUUAAGAACUAUUGACUGUAAACCAUAGCAGUUACAGUCACUCAAUGGAGAUGUUCGCCUUUGUUUGGAAUGAAGAUGGAUGAUCAGGCACUUGAGCCUGGAACUGAUGAAAUUCGGGGAAAACAUGGAAGCAUAUAUAUAUAACAACCGGUGAUGGUUGAUAGCAACUUAAAAGCUUCUUAAUGUUUAAAGCAUCAAUUAACUGAAACCAUAACAUACAUUAACUCGCCGCUGGUUGAUCGGACAAUGCAAAGACUUUGUAGAGAUCCACUACAGUAUGCAACUUACUUGUCAAUUUGAACAACCAAGAAAGUCAAAAGUUCAUAGGAGCGCCUAAUAAAAUGAUACUUCAAGAACUGGUGCAGGGCUUUAAUAGUUUGUUGUCACAAUCCCGUCUCCGGAUAGAUGUAUGUAAGAAUCAUUAAAGAAGAACGUCAACAAUCAGCAAGUUGGACCUUCAGUUUGCAGCCAUCUCUUAGACAUACAAUUAUGCCUACGGAACACAACUGCACUCCGAAGUUAGGUCAA
rnacentral:lncRNA from 1 species